AACUUUAAUAAAAGCCCAAAUAAUGUCCUACACCACGUCGUCCACGCGGAGUCGCUUUACCGACUCACCAACCCUCCUAUUUUUACCCAUUUAUAUCCAUAUGUUUGUUUACAAUGUCAAUAACUUCUACCCUUCUUCUAAGUGCAACCUAAACAAUAUUUAUUAUUAUAAUUUCUGUAUUCUAACCGAAUACUGUACCGUUACCCAAUGUGUCGUUGACAUUUCGCAUCAAACACCAGUACCAAGUAGUACAAUAUACCAUAGGCAUGUUCAGACUUUCGUAGCUGAACCAGAUUAUUCCCAAGUAAGUUAUUUCCCUAUUGAACCAAUAAUAUCUAUUAAAUUACAUUA